GAAAGUGUGUAUCUGUGGGAACAUCAGAAUUCUCUCCCUCCCACUGUUGCCAAUAUUCAGGACUUUAUUUGUGUUCUGUACUUGCAGACAGUAGAGACAGCAGCCACAGUUUUCCUGUCUGCAUUGGGAGGUACUAAAGUUGAUGAGCUGUUGGUAAUUAUUGCUUAUGACUAGAAGGUAGUGAUAUUUUUCUUCAUUUUCAAGGUAGUAAGUGGCAUCAAGAUAAUUCCCUGGAAUAAACAUUUUAUUCUUACUUUCCAAUGUAAAUUGCACUCCUUUUGAUGCAAUAGAUUGCAACUAUUUCUUCGAGCUAUGGAAAAUUUGCAGUAAGCAAUGAAAGCCUCAGUAGUGUACUUGUGUUGGGCACAAGUUCCUCCCUGUGUUUUGUUUGCUGAGUUUGCGACAGGGGCCAUGCUAAAGAAACAAAUUCCUUAUCAGCAGUGUAUGAACUGUACAGCAAGUUUUGUUUUUCCACGAAGUUCAAGUAGAUCUGGGUUGAUGUCUCCCAAACAUACUAUUUCCCAUGUGCCAACAUAUAACCUCAUUUCUCUCCAAAAUUCACAUCUGUUGAGUUACUCAAGCCCAAAAGUAACCUUUCUAAGACUGUGCAACUCUUGGUAAUGUCCAUAUCCUAAACUAACAAAUGAAAACUUGUUGACAUUAAUACUGGUGGAGAAUACGUGUACCCUCCUAUGCUGAGUAACCCUUCAGUCACACUUCUACAGCAGUCCUUUCUUUCCCAGCUGCUUCUCUGCUCUCAGUCAUCUGUCAAGUCUGUCUCAAGUCUUGGCUUGUACUGCCUGUACAGUUCUGCAAAGCAAGUGAAUUCCCUCACUCAACGUACACUGGCUGAAGGAAGGUGGAGUCUUUCUCUUUUUCUAAUGGGAGUUGGUAUAACUUUUCUCAAUCUAAAAAAAACCAAACUAUUCCAGCUAAAUUACUGGGGGGGCUUUUUUUGUGUGUGUGUGUUGUUUUUUUCUUUCUCCUUCUGCAUCUAGAGUCAACUUCAUGAAAAUAUAAUCUGGAUGUGUAACUCUGCACACUAACGACUGAUGUAGCAACAGUAGCUCUCUCCUGGCACAAUGGCUGAGCUCUGAAUUUGCCAUUUGGGUGUUCCCUGCUGUAGGCAGCCUAUGUUUCUGGAAUAGUGGCAGGGGAGCAGACUAUACAGAAAGCAAACUCUGCCUUGGGUUUUCAGAACACUCAGCUAGAAGAUGUUACCAGGCAAACACAGAGCUUCAUCCUCAGGCUUUGACAGGAGAAAGCAAAACCAAAAUUUGAUACCAGAGAGACACUGUCUAUUUGAAAUAGAGUCAGCUUUUGAAAACAAGUUAAAAGUCAUCUCCUUGCCAAUUUUUGUGGGUGUUCAUCCUGCCUGGAUAGCAAGAAAAUUCCUGCAGGGAAUCUCAUGAAUGUCAGAGCUAGCAG